CCUACGGGAGGCAGCAGUGGGGGAUAUUGCACAAUGGGGGAAACCCUGAUGCAGCGACGCCGCGUGGGUGAAGAAGUAUUUCGGUAUGUAAAGCCCUAUCAGCAGGGAAGAAAGAAGACGGUACCUGACUAAGAAGCCCCGGCUAACUACGUGCCAGCAGCCGCGGUAAUACGUAGGGGGCGAGCGUUAUCCGGAUUCACUGGGUGUAAAGGGAGCGUAGACGGCCGUGCAAGCCAGGAGUGAAAGCCCGGGGCCCAACCCCGGGACUGCUCUUGGAACUGUGCGGCUGGAGUGCGGGAGGGGCAGGCGGAAUUCCUGGGGUAGCGGUGAAAUGCGUAGAUAUGAGGAGGAACACCGGCGGCGAAGGCGGCCUGCUGGACCGCGACUGACGUUGAGGCUCGAAAGCGUGGGGAGCGAACAGGAUUAGAUACCCCUGUAGUC
rnacentral:rRNA from 1 species